ACGUUUCGGCUACCUACACGGCGGCCAUUAUCAAAGACGUAUAUGAUAAUGGCCGCCGUGUAGGUAGCCGAAACGUCAGA